AAAGAAAAAGGACUCUGGAGCUGAGUCCUGCCUCACCAGAAAGAGCACAGAAACCGGAGUGGUCGAGAGAAAUCACCAGUGGAAUAGGUUGAAAUUAUGUGGGGUUCUUGUCUGGUCUCCAGCACCAAUUGAACUGAAUGGGAAGGAUGGAAGAGGGAUUGUCGCUGAUGCUGGUGGAGUUCAUCCCACUCUCUGCUGGUGCUAAACCAUUACUGUCAAGAUUGACCUUUUAUUCCUGGCUCAUUGAAAUACUCUGAACUGAAGAGCAAUAUUUUGCCUUCUGGAAUGCACCAGAUGCAGUGAAUUAAAUAAACUAGCCAAAAUCUCUUCUUUGGGAUGAAGGAUGUCCAGACCCCCAAUAUGUGCCUUAAUUUCUGUCCAAAUUCCCUCACCCCAAUUCCAGCACAGCAUUACUCAGAAGCAAAUGCUUUGGGAGGUUUGGGCUUGUGGCUGUGUCCUUAUCUGCUGUUUGAAGUUCUGGGCUCUCAGCCCACUCUUCCCCUAU